GAUACGCCCCCGGCCUCGUUGAUGAAUCCGAGUCGUUAUUGUUCCCGAUCGUGAAUUGGAGUAAUACUCGAGGGUGGACGAAAUAGGUUAAGAAAGAAGAGAUAAAGGCUCAAAUUUAGUUCAAAAGGGGUUAUGGAAUGUAUUGAGGUUGAUAGGUGAAUGAAAACCAAGUAUUCAAGUUGAACCAACACAAUAUAAGUGUGUUAACCCGGGACUUAUAUGAAUACUUAGGAAAGGUUAAAUGUCGUAUGGAUGGAAAACGAAUAAAAUGGAACCUCGACCCACUAUCA
rnacentral:lncRNA from 1 species